UACAAAUUUGUUUAAUAACUUUAGUACUCGUUUUUGUUGUUUUUUUGUAUAUAUAUUUGCUGGUUUCUGUGUUAGUGUGUGUGUGUCUAUCUGUGUGUGGACACUGCUGGUUGCCAGCGGAGCACCUUUUCCGCAGAGCUGUGCUGGAGUUGCUCCCCUUUAUCGGUCGUUGUGGCUCUUCGCGCUGUGCGAUUACGAGAACCGCAGCGUGAGGUCACUUUGUAUCAGGAUUAACAGGAAUCCAGUGACUGCCGCGAAAAUUGUGUUGACCAACGAGCUGUUCAGCUCCAGGAGACCCAGAGGCAUCAGUUUAUAUUCGAUUGUGGACACCUGUAGCCAGAAGGAGUUGACAACUUGCCUGAAACGCACAUCAGCAUACUAUAGUUCUUGGGGUACGGGAAGCACUUACCUCCUGCAGCAUUUGACUGCUUAUACGA